GGGUGGGGCAGGGAGGGGCCGAGAACUCCGGGCGGGGCCCCGCCUCCUCUCGCGAGACUGUAGACAGCCGCUCCCGGGUCGCCUCUUUCGAAACCUUGCUGGAGGGGUGGGGGUGUUCCCUUGGGUACCUCGAACCCGUGAUCGACCCCCCCUCCUCUGAGUCUAGCUACCCAAAUAAAUCUGAAAUAGGGCUGCCAGGAGGAGUGAAUAGGCCCGAACCUCUGUCCCUCUGCCGCGCGGGCCUGGGACCCGCUCUCCUGAGGGCGGAAAGGGUGCAAAGCCGAGCUGACUCCGGGCCCACCCCCGAGGGUCGAGGCCCUGGGAGGACUUCGAACACGGGAUCGUUAGCUUGGUUCCAAAAGGAAUGUAGGACGAGCAUGCCGCAUCUGACAGAUUCCCAGUGUGCGAGAGCCAGCCACAAGACUCAAGCAUAAAAGAGAUAGGACUAUUUUCCAAGCAACCUACGUUUAAAAGAAAUGCGUACUGAUUUAUGCCUUAUGUUACGUUCUGUAUUCAUAGAUUAUACACAAACUCAUAGGGAGCAAAAUAUGAUUUUAUUUAAUUUAUACAUCAUAUUGGACAACAAUGCUCAAUAAAAAUAAAAUGUCCUCUUCUAAACA
rnacentral:lncRNA from 1 species